rnacentral:rRNA from 1 species
AUGCAGAGGGAGGUGGGGCCGCAGGUGGCCUCCCCGCUCUACCUGCACCAGAUCCAGCCGCUGCCUCCCCAUGCGGCGGCGGCGGCCAGGAAGCGCGGGAGCCCGUGGCCCGCCGUGGAGCCGCCGGAGAACGCCGCCAUGGGGGCCGCCGCCGCGGCCGGAGGGAACUGGAACCCCAGCAUGUGGGACUGGGACAGCCGCGCCUUCACCGCCAGGCCGUCCUCCGACGCGCUCCGCCUCGGCGGCGGGCUGAACCACCACCAUCACCAGCAGCAGCAGCAGGCGCCGCCGCCGCCGGCGACGGCUGCCGAGGUGCGGCGGCAGGGGGGCGGAGGUGCCGGUGACCUGAGCCUUCAGCUGACCCUGCGGGAGGAGGCAUCGAUGGCGAUGGAUGUGAGCCCGACGACUACCUUGUCUUCUUCGCCUUCUCCGCCUGCACGGGCGUCACAGGAGCAGGCUGCUAGGCCUAGCAAGAGGGUUCGGUCUGGAUCGCCCGGAACUGCUUCUGGAGGAGGCGGCGGCGGCGGUGGCGGAGGGAGCGCUAGCGGAGGCGGCAGCUAUCCCAUGUGCCAGGUGGAUGAUUGCCGCGCGGAUCUGACCAGCGCCAAGGAUUACCACAGGAGGCACAAGGUGUGUGAGAUCCACAGCAAGACAACCAAGGCGGUAGUUGGCAACCAGAUGCAGCGCUUCUGCCAGCAGUGUAGUAGAUUUCAUCCGCUCUCGGAGUUCGAUGAGGGUAAGAGGAGUUGCAGGCGAAGGCUUGCCGGACACAACCGACGGCGGAGGAAAACCCAGCCAACAGAUGUUGCUUCACAAUUGUUGCUUCCUGAAAACCAAGAAAAUGCAGCAAAUAGGACACAAGAUAUUGUCAAUCUGAUCACUGUUAUUGCACGCUUGCAAGGUGGUAAUGUUGGUAAACUACCCAGCAUCCCUCCGAUACCGGAUAAAGAUAAUCUGGUCCAAAUCAUAAGCAAAAUAAACUCAAUCAAUAAUGCAAACUCCCUGGCAAAGUCUCCUCCAUCAGAAGCCAUUGAUUUGAAUGCCUCGCAGGGGCAACAACAAGAUUCUUCUGUCCAAAAUGCAACAAAGGUGGUCGACAAGCAGACUGUGCCAUCAACCAUGGAUUUGCUAACAGUUCUAUCUGGUGCUCUUGGGACAUCAACCCCCGAGACCAAUACAUCUCAGUCCCAGGGGAGCAGUGAUAGCAGUGGUAAUAACAAGAGCAAGAGUCAUUCAACAGAGCCAGCAUGUGUUGUAAAUUCCCAUGAGAAAUCCAUUCGACCUUUUCCCGCAGCUGGUAUGUUAAGGAGUAGCAGCACCCAUGGAAGCCCACCUGAAGUAUAUAAGCAGCCAGACCGAGAUACCCAUCCGUACUUGUCGCUGCAAUUGUUUGGUAACAAUGAGGACAUUCCUGUGAAAAUGGACACUGCAAAUAAGUACUUGUCUUCCGAGAGCAGUAAUCCUAUGGACGAGAGGUCUCCUUCAUCCUCUCCACCUGUAACACACACAUUUUUCCCCACUCGUUCAGUAAAUGAAGGCAUCAGGCAUCCUCGUAUUGCUGACUAUGGAGAAGAUGGUGCAACAGUUGAGAACAGUACCACUCGGGCAUGGUGCGCGCCACCGCUUGAGCUUUUUAAGGAUUCAGAACGGCCAACGGAAAAUGGUUCACCACCAAACCCCACAUAUCAGUCAUGUUAUGCUUCAACAUCUGGUUCCGACCAUUCUCCAUCAACAUCAAAUUCAGAUGGACAGGAUCGUACUGGAAAGAUUAUAUUCAAGCUCUUUGGCAAGGAACCUGGCUCAAUCCCUGGGAACCUUCGUGACGAGGUUGUAAAUUGGCUGAAACACAGCCCCACUGAAAUGGAGGGUUACAUUCGCCCUGGUUGCCUUGUACUAUCCAUGUAUCUGUCAAUGCCAACUAUUGCAUGGGAUGAACUCCAAGAAAAUUUCCUCCAGCGAGUAAACUCGUUAGUUCAGGCUUCUGAUUUGGAUUUCUGGAGAAAAGGGAGGUUUUUAGUUCGAAGCGACAACCAGUUGGUGUCGUACAAAGAUGGAAUGACCCGCCUCUCAAAAUCAUGGAGAACAUGGAAUACCCCUGAGUUGACCCUUGUGACACCAAUUGCUGUUGUUGGUGGGAGAAAGACCUCCCUCGUUCUUAAGGGCCGUAAUCUAACGAUCCCGGGCACCCAGAUCCACUGCACCAGCGCGGGGAAGUAUAUAUCGAAAGAGGUACUGUGUUCAGCGUAUCCGGGUACUAUAUAUGAUGAUUCAGGAGUUGAGACCUUUGACUUACCGGGAGAACCAAGUCUUACUCUUGGGCGUUGCUUUAUUGAGGUUGAGAACAGGUUCAGAGGAAACAGCUUCCCUGUUAUUUUUGCGAAUAAAAGCAUCUGUCAGGAGUUAAGAAACCUUGAAGAUGAACUUGAAGAUUCGCGGUUUCCUGAUGUCUCUCCAGAUGAUCAGGUCCAUGAUGCUAGGCGGCUAAAGCCAAGGGAUCAAGUUCUGCAUUUUCUUAAUGAACUUGGCUGGCUCUUUCAGAAGGCCGCUGCAUGCACACCUUCCACCAAAUCAGAUGUUUCUCAUUCAGAGUUGAUUCAGUUCUCUACUGCACGGUUCAGACACCUUCUGUUGUUUUCUAAUGAGCGGGACUGGUGCUCCCUCACUAAAACACUACUCGAAAUUCUUACCAAGAGAAGUAUGGUUAGUGACGAGUUAUCACAUGAGACUCUGGAGAUGCUCUCCGAGAUUCAUCUUCUGAACAGGGCAGUGAAAAGGAAGAGUAGCCACAUGGUGCAUUUGCUUGUGCAGUUUGUUGUAAUUUGCCCUGACAAUUCCAAACUGUACCCUUUCCUUCCAAAUUAUCCCGGCCCUGGUGGUUUGACUCCAUUACAUCUAGCUGCAUCCAUUGAUGAUGCAGAGGAUAUAGUUGAUGCGUUGACAGAUGAUCCUCAACAGAUUGGUUUGAGCUGCUGGCACUCCGUGCUAGACGAUGAAGGGCUAUCUCCUGAAGUGUAUGCGACUUUCAGGAACAACGGCUCAUACAAUGAACUUGUCACGCGAAAGCUUAUGGACAGGAAGAAUAGCCAGGUUACCAUUGUGCUCAACAAAGGUGAAAUUCAUAUCGAUCAACCAGGGAAUGUUGGUGCGAAUAAUGCAUCUGGGAUCCAAGCAUUGGAAAUAAGAUCCUGCAACCAGUGCGCCAUUUUGGAGUCUGGCUUGCUAAGACGCCCUAUGCGUUCUCGAGGAUUGCUUGCUCGCCCCUACAUCCAUUCAAUGCUUGCCAUAGCAGCAGUGUGUGUCUGUGUCUGUGUAUUCAUGCGAGCUUUGCUGCGGUUUAAUUCUGGUAGGUCCUUCAAGUGGGAGAGGUUGGAUUUCGGUCCCACAUAG